rnacentral:rRNA from 1 species
UGCCAGCCGCCGCGGUAAUACGGAGGGUGCGAGCGUUGUUCGGAAUCAUUGGGCGUAAAGCGCGUGUAGGCGGUUUGUUAAGUCUGAUGUGAAAGCCCGGGGCUCAACCCCGGAAGUGCAUUGGAUACUGGCAAGCUUGAGUGCGAGAGAGGAUGGUGGAAUUCCUGGUGUAGGGGUGAAAUCCGUAGAUAUCAGGAGGAACAUCGGAGGCGAAGGCGGCCAUCUGGCUCGCUACUGACGCUGAGACGCGAAAGCGUGGGGAGCAAACAGGAUUAGAUA